UACGUAGGGGGCAAGCGUUGUCCGGAAUCAUUGGGCGUAAAGCGCGCGUAGGUGGCUUCGUAAGUCCGUUGUGAAAGUCAAAGGCUCAACCUUUGAAAGCCGAUGGAUACUGCGGAGCUAGAGUACGGAAGAGGCGAGUGGAAUUCCUGGUGUAGCGGUGGAAUGCGCAGAUAUCGGGAAGAACACCCGUGGCGAAGGCGGCUCUCUGGGACGGUACUGACGCUGAGACGCGAAAGCGUGGGGAGCGAACAGG
rnacentral:rRNA from 1 species